rnacentral:rRNA from 1 species
AUUGAACGCUGGCGGCAGGCUUAACACAUGCAAGUCGAACGAUGAAGAUAUAGCUUGCUAUAUCGGAUUAGUGGCGGACGGGUGAGUAACACUUAGGAAUCUACCUUUUAGCGGGGGAUAGCUCGGGGAAACUCGAAUUAAUACCGCAUAAUUUCUACGGAAUAAAGAGGGCUUUUAGCUCUCACUAGAAGAUGAGCCUAAGUAAGAUUAGCUAGUUGGUGGGGUAAAAGCCUACCAAGGCGACGAUCUUUAGCUGGUCUGAGAGGAUGAUCAGCCACACUGGGACUGAGACACGGCCCAGACUCCUACGGGAGGCAGCAGUGGGGAAUAUUGGACAAUGGGGGCAACCCUGAUCCAGCCAUGCCGCGUGUGUGAAGAAGGCCUUUUGGUUGUAAAGCACUUUAAGCAGUGAAGAAGACCUAUUGGUUAAUACCCAAUAGCGAUGACAUUAACUGCAGAAUAAGCACCGGCUAACUCUGUGCCAGCAGCCGCGGUAAUACAGAGGGUGCAAGCGUUAAUCGGAAUUACUGGGCGUAAAGCGAGCGUAGGUGGUUAAAUAAGUCAGAUGUGAAAGCCCUGGGCUCAACCUAGGAACGGCAUCUGAAACUAUUUAACUAGAGUAGGUGAGAGGGAAGUAGAAUUUCAGGUGUAGCGGUGAAAUGCGUAGAGAUCUGAAGGAAUACCGAUGGCGAAGGCAGUUUCCUGGCAUCAUACUGACACUGAGGCUCGAAAGCGUGGGUAGCAAACAGG